UACGUAGGGGGCAAGCGUUGUCCGGAAUCAUUGGGCGUAAAGAGCGUGUAGGCGGCCCGGUAAGUCCGCUGUGAAAGUCCAGGGCUCAACCCUGGGAUGCCGGUGGAUACUGUCGGGCUCGAGUCCGGAAGAGGAGUGUGGAAUUCCUGGUGUAGCGGUGAAAUGCGCAGAUAUCAGGAGGAACACCAAUGGCGAAGGCAGCACUCUGGGACGUGACUGACGCGGAGACGCGAAAGCGUGGGGAGCAAACAGG
rnacentral:rRNA from 1 species